rnacentral:misc_RNA from 1 species
UAUCCUAUCGGGUAGAGCUGCCCCCACAAUUGAAGAUACAUCCGGUCUUCCACGUAAGUUUCUUGAAGCCUUACUACGCAGACAAGGAGGACCCGGACCGAGGAAAAUCUCAGCGAGCCCCUCCCACGGUUGUAACCUCAUUUGAUCGGGAAAUUGGGGAAAUUUUGGCCGAACGAGUGGUGCGCCAGCGAGGAGUCCCCAACCACACGGAAUUUCUGAUCAAAUGGAAGGGGUUGCCCGACACUGAGGCAAGUUGGGAAAAGGAAGCUGAUUUGUGGCAAUUCAAGGACGCAAUCGAGGUUCACAGGAAAGGAAAGCUUGACGAGGGCGUCAAGGACUCUGGUGGGGGAGGUUGU